rnacentral:rRNA from 1 species
CCUACGGGAGGCAGCAGUGAGGAAUAUUGGUCAAUGGGCGUAAGCCUGAACCAGCCAAGUCGCGUGAGGGAUGAAGGUUCUAUGGAUCGUAAACCUCUUUUAUAAGGGAAUAAAGUGUGGGACGUGUACCGUUUUGUAUGUACCUUAUGAAUAAGGAUCGGCUAACUCCGUGCCAGCAGCCGCGGUAAUACGGAGGAUCCGAGUGUUAUCCGGAUUUAUUGGGUUUAAAGGGUGCGUAGGCGGCCUUUUAAGUCAGCGGUGAAAGUCUGUGGCUCAACCAUAGAAUUGCCUUUGAAACUGGGAGGCUUGAGGAUGGUUGAGGCAGGCAGAAUGCGUGGUGUAGCGGUGAAAUGCGUAGAUAUCACGCAGAACCCCGAUGGCGAAGGCAGCCUGCCAAGCCAUGACUGACGCUGAUGCACGAAAGCGUGGGGAGCAAACAGGAUUAGAUACCCGUGUAGUC